GAUGAACGCUAGCGGCAGGCUUAAUACAUGCAAGGCGAAGGGGCAGCAAUGUCACUGUCGUACGGGUGCGUAACGCGUAUGCAACCUACCUUGAACAGGGGGAUAGCCCAGAGAAAUUUGGAUUAAUACCCCAUGGUAUUAUUGGAUGGCAUCAUUUGAUAAUUAAAGUUCCAACGGUUCAAGAUGGGCAUGCGUCCCAU
rnacentral:rRNA from 1 species